UACGUAGGGUGCGAGCGUUAAUCGGAAUUACUGGGCGUAAAGCGUGCGCAGGCGGUUGUGCAAGACCGAUGUGAAAUCCCCGGGCUUAACCUGGGAAUGGCAUUGGUGACUGCACGGCUAGAGUGUGUCAGAGGGGGGUAGAAUUCCACGUGUAGCAGUGAAAUGCGUAGAGAUGUGGAGGAAUACCGAUGGCAAAGGCAGCCCCCUGGGAUAACACUGACGCUCAUGCACGAAAGCGUGGGGAGCAAACAGG
rnacentral:rRNA from 1 species